ACAGCCGCGCCGUGCUGUACGCCUUCUCUGCAUGGAGCGGGGCUCUAUUUAAGCCUCCACGUGUGAGACACCCAUUGCUGCAGUCUCCCGGGAGGCUUGUGGAUCGAGGGUGCCGCCGCUAUUAUCAUACAGGAUUUUUGGUGCCUAAUAGCCAUUGAAGGCUGAUACUCAGGCACGUUGCCAAUUUCUAGAUACUAUAUAUCUUGCAUCAGGGAUGCCCCUUUCUGGCUUUUUCCCUUCUUGGUACCAAUACUCUCCACUGAAGACUUCUUGCCCUUUUGGGUUUAUUUUACAAUUAUCCUACGUUCAGCAGCCCGGACCUAGCUACUCAAUCCCUUGCUAGGAAGUUACCUUUCCUAGGCUUUGCACUCACUACUAGUGGAUUACUAACAUGCCUUAAAUACUAUUUCUAACCAUACUGAGACUCCGUGAGGAAGCGCUGUAACAAGCGCGAAACCGGUUGAGUCAACUAACUCUGCAAGCUUUAUCAUCUCAGACAUAUAUCUGUCUGCACCUCCAUCAUUACGCAGGACCAUUAAUCUAUAUAAGGGGUGUUUUUCAUGCUAUGAAAACUUUCAACCCCAUCUUUGGACCUUUGUUGUGUUUCUUUAUUCUAUGACCAUUUAUAUAUUCCUGGUAUACUUUUGGAGGUUCUUGUAUUGUUAAGUUGGUUUGCCAGAUAGUUUUGCUGCUGGUGGCAAUCUCCUUUUUAACAUGUACUGUAUAUUUUUAUGUUAUAAUAAAUUCAAAAUAAUUUUUUUGAGAAAAUUCUCUGUGUGACUAUACUCUGACUAACCAAUAGUGCCUGAAAAGUCCAACAACUCGCCCCUAGUUACUCUCUUGUUCAUACGUAUCAGGACGUGGCACCUUCUUAUAAUCAAAUGUCCACAUGUGAGGAUAUUUUCAUUUUCUUUUUUCCAGUAUCAGAUUUAAACGCAUCGAUAGGAGCUUGGUAAAUAUUUUUAGAUCUGAAUUUAAGAGUGCUUUCGGCCUAUAGCUAGCGCAAAAGGAAGGAUCCUUAUCAGGUUUGGGGAUCAGCGUGAGAAACAAUCUUUGCAUGUCUGAUGGGAUAGGGGUCACCUGGAGAAACGCAUUGAACAAUUUACAGAGAUGUGGUAGGAAUGCUUUGUAGUACUCGUAAGGGAGGCUGUCCGGGCCAGGGAAUUUAUGUGUAGGCAGGGUCUUGAUGGUGGCCGUCAGUUCCUCCAUCGUGAUAGGGGCAUUGAUGGAAAGGAGGUCCGAUGCAUGAAGUCUGGGAAUUCUACUGUGUUUCAGAUACUGGUGAAAUCGGUUGUUCAG